UACGUAGGGCGCGAGCGUUAAUCGGAAUUACUGGGCGUAAAGCGUGCGUAGGCGGUUCGUUAAGUCCGUUGUAAAAGUCAAAGGCUCAACCUUUGAAAGCCGAUGGAUACUGCCGGGCUAGAGUCCGGAAGAGGCGAGUAGAAUUCCUGGUGUAGCGGUGGAAUGCGCAGAUAUCAGGAGGAAUACCCAUAGCGAAGGCAGCUCGCUGGGACGGUACUGACGCUGAGGCGCGAAAGCGUGGGGAGCGAACAGG
rnacentral:rRNA from 1 species